AGAGCAAGUAACGUCUAAAUUAACUUUUUUUUGCUGAUGAACUGUAUAAAUGAGUGUCUAAUAGUGUUUUAAAUGUGUGUAUUCAUUAUUUUAGCAUUUUGGUGCAUUUUCUUAAAAAAUUUAAAAUUCUGCCUAAAUACCACAGUAUAGCUCCACCUUCAGCUUAAAACAUAGAAUUUGACUCAUUUUGAAUAAAUUUUAGCCAAUGGCUAAAGAGUAAGAUACUACGUAAUCCAGUAGAGUACUACGUAGCAGCUCUGUGUCAACGUUAUAAAAGCAUCGGGAGUCUCGGCCACGCCUUGUGGCGAGUUGGGAGUUGGAUUUGCAUGAGAGUGUAGGAGGCUAGCCGUAGUUCAGCAUUAGCAUAUAGCAUUAGCAUAUCCUAGUCUUUAGCAUAGCUUUUAGUGUUAUACAUACUUAUUUAGUGUUAGCUUGACUGUUGGAUAUUGUAGUUUAGUUACUGUUUGGCUGUUAGUGUAAUUAGGAAAGUAGUUCGGGUUUAGUGCUCCAUAUCGUGUUAGCAUGGUGAGAUGGUGUAGUGUAGUAUGGUUGCGGAGCUCUGUCGGGUUGCACUCCUUUCCGCUGGACUUAGAAAUUAGGCGCCAGUGGUUGCGUGUCUGGAAAAGAUUCAGCUCCCGCCUGGUGCUGUAGUUUGCAACCAGCAUUUUACCCGCGAUUCUGCACGUCUCCGUUCCAAGAGGGAGGUUGUGCCCACCGUGGCUCUUCCGCGAUUUAGAUACAGACCACCGACUCUGCUCCCCCACCAUGACGGGCUACAGUCUGAGGCUAAAUCUACCCAAGACACUGGCUGUCAGACUGAUUUAGUAAUCUGCAAGAAUGCACUUGUCCAGGCUGACGUGAAGCCUUGCCCGUAGCAAAGAGCUCACAGCCUCAGUGUCUUGUGACACAGGGACCAUGACAGAAAUUCAUCUUCCAGAAGGUCCCAGAGCAUCCACACCCCCUGAAAAGACCACGGUGUGAGGUGUCUGCUGUUGAUUCCAGCUUCCACCUCAGUGACAGUGCAAGCUCAGUGAACUGUUCAAGGAGGCUACUGAUUCUGGCCCUGUGACACUUGGUGGUCACCACCAGGUGGUGACGUGUGAGCUGAUUCACCUGGACACUCAGCAAAAUAUGGACUCUACACCAUGAGGCAGGCACACGUUAAUAACUCUAUAAGAGUACAUAAGGUAAGCAACACCACAUAUUAUUUUUAUUACUGUACACUGUCCUGGAUUUGUUUUCUUUCUGCAUGAUUUGUUUUCUUUCUGCAUCUCAUCAUUAGCCUGGCUGAUCACCUGAUAACUCAUGUUAUCUGGUUAUGACAGCAUGAGGAUGUCCUCACACACCUGUAACCUACCAGCUCAUCUGGCAGAAUAGAGAGAGAAGAGACAACACCACAUCUCCUGUUCCUGGAAAGCCUUCAGCCAUCCUUCGAUGACUGAGAACCUCCAUCAGCUCUGUCUCCUGUCUGCCUACAAUUAUUAUAAUAAAUAUUGUGUUUGACAAGUU